GACGAACCGUGCGAACGUUGUUCGGAAUCACUGGGCUUAAAGGGCGCGUAGGCGGGCCGGACGGUCCGGGGUGAAAUCCCCCCGCUCAACGGGGGAACGGCUCCGGAUACCGCCGGCCUCGAGGGGGGGAGGGGCGAGCGGAACGCUGGGUGGAGCGGUGAAAUGCGUUGAUAUCCAGCGGAACUCCGGUGGCGAAGGCGGCUCGCUGGGCCCUCUCUGACGCUGAGGCGCGAAAGCCAGGGGAGCGAACGGG
rnacentral:rRNA from 1 species